rnacentral:rRNA from 1 species
AUUGAACGCUGGCGGCAUGCCUUACACACGCAAGUCGAACGGUAACAGGGAGCUUGCCCCGCUGACGAGUGGCGAACGGGUGAGUAAUGCGUCGGAACGUGCCGAGUAGUGGGGGAUAACGCAGCGAAAGUUGUGCUAAUACCGCAUACGUACUGAGGUAGAAAGUGGGGGACCUUCGGGCCUCACGCUAUUCGAGCGGCCGACGUCUGAUUAGCUAGUAGGUGAGGUAAAGGCUCGCCUAGGCGACGAUCAGUAGCGGGUCUGAGAGGAUGAUCCGCCACACUGGGACUGAGACACGGCCCAGACUCCUACGGGAGGCAGCAGUGGGGAAUUUUGGACAAUGGGCGAAAGCCUGAUCCAGCCAUGCCGCGUGUCUGAAGAAGGCCUUCGGGUUGUAAAGGACUUUUGUCGGGGAGGAAAUCCCCAGCGCUAAUACCGCUGGGGGAUGACAGUACCUGAAGAAUAAGCACCGGCUAACUACGUGCCAGCCGCCGCCGUAACAC